rnacentral:lncRNA from 1 species
CCAAGGACACACCAAAGCUUCCAUGCAGGACUCUGACACAUCAAAACCUGAUGCUUCAAGAACCUUUCCUCCCUGCCAGGAUUCAGAAAUCAUGAAAUCCUAAGAAGCUCUCCAAAGACUUUGCCUCUUUUGAGACUCAACAAACAAGAAAUUAUCUUUGAUGAUUAGGGCUGAGAGUCAUGCCCAGAGAUACACACUGAAAGUUCUGCUGAAGAAAAGAGUGAGAGAUCUGCCCUAGAAUAUUUUUCUGAAGAAAAUUCUAAGCAUGUUUCCAGACACCACCGC